AUAUGAGUUCAUUAUUCUGGGAAGAAGACGGAUAUGAUUAUUCUAUAAAAGAUUAUUUUGUAGAAUUGAAAGUUGAGAAUGGAAAUCUUAUGGGAUACUGGAAUGAAGGAGAAAAGAUUGAAUUAAAAUAUUUUCAGAUGAUGAAUUCCAAAGUAUACUUGUUACAGAUGGCCGUGGUUAUGGGAAAACUACCCUAUUUAAGAAAUUAGCUUAUGAUUGGUCAACAAAAAAUUAUUCUGAUUAUUUGAAACAGUUUGAUUUAGUAAUUCUUAUCACGCUUUGUGAAUUACAAGAAAGUAACAUUAAUGACACUAUUAUUGAUGCUAUUUUUGAAAAGUCUAAAAGGAC
rnacentral:lncRNA from 1 species